GACGAACGCUGGCGGCGUGCUUAACAUAUGCAAGUCGAACGGAAAGGCCCUGCUUUUGUGGGGUGCUCGAGUGGCGAACGGGUGAGUAACACGUAAGUAACCUGCCCUUGACUUUGGGAUAACUUCAGGAAACUGGGGCUAAUACCGGAUAGGAGCUCCUGCUGCAUGGUGGGGGUUGGAAAGUUUCGGCGGUUGGGGAUGGACUCGCGGCUUAUCAGCUUGUUGGUGGGGUAGUGGCUUACCAAGGCUUUGACGGGUAGCCGGCCUGAGAGGGUGACCGGCCACAUUGGGACUGAGAUACGGCCCAGACUCCUACGGGAGGCAGCAGUGGGGAAUAUUGCACACUGGGCGGCAGCCUGAUGCAGCCACGCCGCGUGCGGGAUGACGGCCUUCGGGUUGUAAACCGCUUUCGCCUGUGACGAAGCGUGAGUGACGGUAAUGGGUAAAGAAGCACCGGCUAACUACGUG
rnacentral:rRNA from 1 species